ACCUCGGUGGUGUAGUGGUAGCCGACAUCCUCGGUCUGUAUGGAACGCGGGUUCGACUCCCGUCUGAGGUC